rnacentral:tRNA from 1 species
AGCCUUCUUCAUCAACAAUCUUAGCAAUUAAUUCAAUACCUUCUUUAGCGGUUUUUACGCUUGGUAAAAUCAC